rnacentral:snRNA from 1 species
GCUCCUUUUUUGCCCCGUGUAAACUUAGAUCAGAUGUAGAAUAAGUUCAGUUGAGUUUAACACCUGGGACGGAAACGAUUCGUUUCCUCCUAUGUAUUAAUCGGAUUUUUGAACUUGGAGUAUGGUGCUGGAGCUUGCUCCACCCUGCUCCACGGGUUGUCCUGGUAUUGCAGUACCUCCAGGUUCGGCUCACGUUUC